rnacentral:rRNA from 1 species
UACGUAGGGUGCAAGCGUUAAUCGGAAUUACUGGGCGUAAAGCGUGCGCAGGCGGUGAUGUAAGACAGGUGUGAAAUCCCCGGGCUUAACCUGGGAACUGCAUUGUGACUGCAUCGCUGGAGUGCGGCAGAGGGGAUGGAAUUCCGCGUGUAGCAGUGAAAUGCGUAGAUAUGCGGAGGAACACCGAUGGCGGAAGGCAAUCCCCUGGGCCUGCACUGACGCUCAUGCACGAAGCGUGGGAGCAACAG